ensembl:lncRNA
AGUUAAUUUAAAAGAUAAUUCAGUUUCUAAGCGAAACAGCGAUUUGACAAGUGCGAUUUUGCUACAAGCAGACUGAACUCAAGGCAACACACCACUUACAGCUGAAGAAAGAGGAGAAGAAAAUCUGGUCCAGGGCAGAGGAGGCUUAUACAACUACCCUCACCCAGAGAGAUUGCAGUAUAAAAACAAUGCAGAAGGAGAUCAGCAAGCUGAUGAUGGAAAAACAGCUUGCACAGACAAACCCGACAACUGCAUGCACCUGUUUGUCACCCUGGACCUCGGAGCCACCCUGCACCUAGAUUCCACGCCAACCCAUAGCCACUCGGCCCACCCCCCUGACACUGUUGUUAUACCUAAUGCCAUGAUGAAUGAAGCCCA